GCCGCAAGUAUCGAGAGAACAGUGUUUGCAGUGAUCAGUGGGGGCUCUUUCAAUGGAUCAACAGUACUCACAAAUAUAUCUACACUAGCCAAUUCAGAUGGCUUUCCUUCUUUUUCAUACCUUAGUGACAGCCGAUCAAGGUAUGUUUCUCGCUCUAUAGGGUACCAUUUUGGAAACUGAUCAAGAAUCCAUGAUACUGCAAACCAUAUUUCGCAUAUUACUGAUGUCAACC
rnacentral:misc_RNA from 1 species